rnacentral:tRNA from 1 species
GGGCUAAUGGUCUAGUGGUAUGAUUUCUGUUUUGCAAUGAAUUUUCAUCAGUUCUACAGACGGUCCCGCGUUCGAUCCGCGGUUAGUCCA